rnacentral:misc_RNA from 1 species
GAAAUGCGAUAAGUAAUGUGAAUUGCAGAAUUCAGUGAAUCAUCGAAUCUUUGAACGCACAUUGCGCCCGCCAGUAUUCUGGCGGGCAUGCCUGUUCGAGCAUCAUUACAACCCUCAGGCCCCCGGGCCUGGCGUUGGGGAUCGGCGGAAGCCCCCUGCGGGCACAACGCCGUCCCCCAAAUACAGUGGCGGUCCCGCCGCAGCUUCCAUUGCGUAGUAGCUAACACCUCGCAACUGGAGAGCGGCGCGGCCACGCCGUAAAACACCCAACUUCUGAAUGUUGACCUCGCAGCAGGUAGGAAUACCCGCUGAACUUAAGC